GAUGAACGCUGGCGGCGUGCCUAAUACAUGCAAGUCGAGCGAACAGACGAGGAGCUUGCUCCUCUGACGUUAGCGGCGGACGGGUGAGUAACACGUGGAUAACCUACCUAUAAGACUGGGAUAACUUCGGGAAACCGGAGCUAAUACCGGAUAAUAUAUUGAACCGCAUGGUUCAAUAGUGAAAGACGGUUUUGCUGUCACUUAUAGAUGGAUCCGCGCCGCAUUAGCUAGUUGGUAAGGUAACGGCUUACCAAGGCAACGAUGCGUAGCCGACCUGAGAGGGUGGUCGGCCACACUGGAACUGAGACACGGUCCAGACUCCUACGGGAGGCAGCAGUAGGGAAUCUUCCACAAUGGGCGAAAGCCUGACGGAGCAACGCCGCGUGAGUGAUGAAGAUCUUCGGAUCGUAAAACUCUGUUAUUAGGGAAGAACAAAUGUGUAAGUAACUAUGCACGUCUUGACGGUACCUAAUCAGAAAGCCACGGCUAACUACGUG
rnacentral:rRNA from 1 species